rnacentral:rRNA from 1 species
AACGAACGCUGGCGGCAGGCCUAAUACAUGCAAGUCGAGCGAAUGGAUUAAGAGCUUGCUCUUAUGAAGUUAGCGGCGGACGGGUGAGUAACACGUGGGUAACCUGCCCAUAAGACUGGGAUAACUCCGGGAAACCGGGGCUAAUACCGGAUAACAUUUUGAACCGCAUGGUUCGAAAUUGAAAGGCGGCUUCGGCUGUCACUUAUGGAUGGACCCGCGUCGCAUUAGCUAGUUGGUGAGGUAACGGCUCACCAAGGCAACGAUGCGUAGCCGACCUGAGAGGGUGAUCGGCCACACUGGGACGGAGACACGGCCCAGACUCCUACGGGAGGCAGCAGUAGGGAAUCUUCCGCAAUGGACGAAAGUCUGACGGAGCAACGCCGCGUGAGUGAUGAAGGCUUUCGGGUCGUAAAACUCUGUUGUUAGGGAAGAACAAGUGCUAGUUGAAUAAGCUGGCACCUUGACGGUACCUAACCAGAAAGCCACGGCUAACUACGUGCCAGCCGCCGCCGUAA